rnacentral:tRNA from 1 species
GGAGAGAUGGCUGAGCUGGUUGAAGGCGCACGACUGGAAAUCGUGUGACUGUUAAUAGCGGUCCGAGGGUUCGAAUCCCUCUCUCUCCG